rnacentral:rRNA from 1 species
UACGGAGGGGGCUAGCGUUGUUCGGAAUUACUGGGCGUAAAGGGCGCGUAGGCGGUCGUGACAAGUCACUUGUGAAAUCUCCGGGCUUAACUCGGAACGGUCAAGUGAUACUGUCGGACUAGAGUACAGAAGGGGCAACUGGAAUUCUCGGUGUAGCGGUGAAAUGCGUAGAUAUCGAGAGGAACACCUGCGGCGAAGGCGGGUUGCUGGGCUGAUACUGACGCUGAGGCGCGAAAGCCAGGGGAGCGAACGGG